GUGGAAGGUUGCCUCAUACUUGCCUCAUACUUCUGGUUACCAUUUCCCAGGGCUCUUCUGUCAGUUCUCUGUUGGGGAGCUUUGGCACACUGGAAUCAGCCUAUAUAGAACUUUCACUUCUGUCUCUGUUGGUCCUGCUAACUUCUAGAUCUAGUGCUGCCAUGACCCACCUCCUUUUAGCCUCAUUGGUCCCUCCCAUGUGACUUCCC